rnacentral:rRNA from 1 species
UACGGAGGGGGCUAGCGUUGUUCGGAAUUACUGGGCGUAAAGCGUGCGCAGGCGGUUUUGUAAGUCUGUCGUGAAAUCCCCGGGCUCAACCUGGGAAUUGCGAUGGAGACUGCAAGGCUAGAAUCUGGCAGAGGGGGGUAGAAUUCCACGUGUAGCAGUGAAAUGCGUAGAGAUGUGGAGGAACACCGAUGGCGAAGGCAGCCCCCUGGGAUAACACUGACGCUCAUGCACGAAAGCGUGGGGAGCAAACAGG